CUUCUUUUGCCAUUCUUAUCUAUUCAUUAAGAUGUUUAUUCUUAUAUUUCCAUUAUUUAUCCCUUUUGCGAUACAUUGCGAUAGGAGGUAAUAGUACUUAGAAUUCGAAGGAUGGGCAUUAAUUUUAUAACAUAUACAGCAGCAUUAGUUAUCCAACAUUAAGAGUAAUCUGGAAUUUGAUAGAGUAAAAUUUGAUCACCAGAACUAAAGUUUAUCAUUCAUAGCCCAACUGUCAAACGUCCAACAAAAUUAAUAUAGAAGAAAAAUCCAAUCAAUCAAUAGUUUUUGGAGAAAUAUCAACGUAUAAUUAUUUGACAUUUAUACGUAGUAAAAAAACUUGUUAACCGUCCC
rnacentral:lncRNA from 1 species